UGACCAGUUGCGGCUUUCUGAAAUGGUU
rnacentral:piRNA from 1 species